UAACGAAUCUUCCGCAAUGCACGAAAGUGUGACGGAGCGACGCCGCGUGUGGGACAAAGUUCUUCGGAAUGUAAACCACUGUCAGGGGUUAGAAAGUUCUGAUCAACCCCAGAGGAAGGCACGGCUAACUCUGUGCCAGCAGCCGCGGUAAUACAGAGGUGCCAAGCGUUAGGCGGAAUUAUUGGGCGUAAAGAGCUCGUAGGCGGUCUGCUACGUCCGCUGUGAAAACCUAGGGCUUAACCCUGGGCUUGCAGUAGAUACGGGCAGACUAGAGGUAGGUAGGGGAGAAUGGAAUUCCCGGUGUAGCGGUGAAAUGCGCAGAUAUCGGGAGGAACACCGGUGGCGAAGGCGGUUCUCUGGGCCUUACCUGACGCUGAGGAGCGAAAGCGUGGGGAGCAAACAGGAUUAGAUACCCCAGUAGUC
rnacentral:rRNA from 1 species